rnacentral:rRNA from 1 species
ACCACCGGCGGACGGCUCAGUAACACGUCGGUAACCUACCCUCGGGAGGGGGAUAACCCCGGGAAACUGGGGCUAAUUCCCCAUAGGCCUGAGGUACUGGAAGGUCCUCAGGCCGAAAGGGACUUAUGUCCGCCCGAGGAUGGGCCGGCGGCCGAUUAGGUAGUUGGUGGGGUAAUGGCCCACCAAGCCGAAGAUCGGUACGGGCUGUGAGAGCAGGAGCCCGGAGAUGGACACUGGGACACGGGUCCAGGCCCUACGGGGCGCAGCAGGCGCGAAACCUCCGCAAUGCGGGAAACCGCGACGGGGGGACCCCGAGUGCCGUGGCAACGCCACGGCUUUUCCGGAGUGUAAAAAGCUCCGGGAAUAAGGGCUGGGCAAGGCCGGUGGCAGCCGCCGCGGUAAUACCGGCGGCCCGAGUGGUGGCCGCUAUUAUUGGGCCUAAAGCGUCCGUAGCCGGGCCCGUAAGUCCCUGGCGAAAUCCCACGGCUCAACUGUGGGGCUUGCUGGGGAUACUGCGGGUCUUGGGACCGGGAGAGGCGGGGGGUACCCCUGGGGUAGGGGUGAAAUCCUAUAAUCCCAGGGGGACCGCCAGUGGCGAAG